rnacentral:rRNA from 1 species
AGCGAACGCUGGCGGCAGGCCUAACACAUGCAAGUCGAGCGGACGUAGCAAUACGUCAGCGGCAGACGGGAGAGUAACACGUGGGAACGCGCCCUUCGGUUCGGGAUAACCCAGGGAAACUUGGGCUAAUACCGGAUACGCCCUUACGGGGAAAGAUUUAUUGCCGAAGGAACGGCCCGCGUCCGAUUAGCUUGUUGGUGAGGUAACGGCUCACCAAGGCGACGAUCGGUAGCUGGUCUGAGAGGAUGACCAGCCUCACUGGGACUGAGACACGGCCCAGACUCCUACGGGAGGCAGCAGUGGGGAAUAUUGGACAAUGGGCGCAAGCCUGAUCCAGCCAUGCCGCGUGGGUGAUGAAGGCCCUAGGGUUGUAAAGCCCUUUCGGCGGGGAAGAUAAUGACGCUACCCGCAGAAGAAGCCCCGGCUAACUUCGUGCCAGCCGCCGCGGUUAAAA